CACGUAUUUAGCGUUCUUUCUGGUAAGAUACCGUCACACAUUGAACAGUUACUCUCAAUGUCAUUCUUCUCUUACAACAGUGUUUUACGAGCCGAAACCCUUCAUCACACACGCGGCGUUGCUCCAUCAGGCUUUCGCCCAUUGUGGAAGAUUCCCUACUGCUGCCUCCCGUAGGAGUAUGGGCCGUGUCUCAGUCCCAUUGUGGCCGAUCAGUCUCUCAACUCGGCUAUGCAUCAUCGUCUUGGUGAGCCAUUACCUCACCAACUAACUAAUGCACCGCGGGACCAUCUCUUAGUGAUAGCAGAACCAUUCUUUUAAGUAGCAACCCAUGCGGUUGCUUAUUGUUAUACGGUAUUAGCAUCUGUUUCCAAAUGUUAUCCCCUGCUAAGAGGUUACGUUUCCCACGUGUUACUCUACCCGUUCGCCACUCUUUGCAAUGUCCAUCGUCAUAUCUGAGCAAGUCUCUUACAAACUGAGUUCGAACCACUAAAC
rnacentral:rRNA from 1 species